rnacentral:rRNA from 1 species
GCUUAACUAUAAGAGGUCCAGCCUGCCCGGUGACAUAGUUUAACGGCCGCGGUACCCUAACCGUGCGAAGGUAGCAUAAUCACUUGUUCUUUAAAUGGGGACUCGUAUCAACGGCAUCACGAGGAUCAUACUGUCUCCCCCCCCUAAUCAGUGAAACUGAUCUCCCCGUGAAGAAGCGGGGAUUUCCCUAUAAGACGAGAAGACCCCAUGGAGCUUUAAACCCGAUGACACCCUCACUAUACGCAUACCCGCAUAUCCCUUGGGGUGCUGUUCACUCGGUUUUAGGUUGGGGUGACCGCGGAGCAAAACAAAACCUCCACGAAGAAUGGGCUUACCCCCUUAUCCAAGAGAGACAUCUCUAAGAAUUAGUAGACUAACAUCUAAUGAUCCGAUAUUUCGAUCAACGAACCAAGUUACCCUGGGGAUAACAGCGCAAUCCACUUCAAGAGCCCAUAUCGACAAGUGGGUUUACGACCUCGAUGUUGGAUCAGGGUAUCCCAGUGGUGCAGCAGCUACUAACGGUUCGUUUGUUCAACGAUUAAAACCCU